GCCUUCGUAGUGUAACUAGAAACACGCUCCACGCGUAUUUCAGAGGUCCGUGGUUCGAGUCCCGGCGAGGGCA
rnacentral:tRNA from 1 species